CUAAUUAGUGCGAGCAUUCCAGUCGAGAAGCAAAUACCGUAUAGAGGAAGGGGAAGAGGAGAAUGUACCCAAAACGUGCUUGCGAUAUGUGAUUGGGAUAUGUACUUUUUGUAUGUAGUGGUUGGAUGGGAAGGCACUGCUCAUGACUCGAGAGUGUUGACCGAGGCAGUGCGUGAUCCAUAUUUCAAGUUUCCUUUACCUCCACCAGACAAAUACUAUCUAUGUGAUGCUGCGUACUCUCAUACACAAGGGUUUAUGUGUCCGUAUCGCAACAUAAGGUAUUGGAUAGGUGAUUACCGAAGAGUU